rnacentral:rRNA from 1 species
UAGGGAAUAUUGGACAAUGGGUGAGAGCCUGAUCCAGCCAUGCCGCGUGCAGGAAGAAGGCGUUAUGCGUUGUAAACUGCUUUUUGCCAGGGGAUAAAGUGAGCGUGCGCGCUUAAUUGAAGGUACCUGGUGAAUAAGCCACGGCUAACUACGUGCCAGCAGCCGCGGUAAUACGUAGGUGGCAAGCGUUGUCCGGAUUUAUUGGGUUUAAAGGGUGCGUAGGUGGCCCUGUAAGUCAGUGGUGAAAUAUCUCAGCUUAACUGAGAGGGUGCCAUUGAUACUGCAGGGCUUGAGUACAGAUGAGGUAGGCGGAAUUGACGGUGUAGCGGUGAAAUGCAUAGAUAUCGUCAAGAACACCGAUAGCGAAGGCAGCUUACCAAGCUGUAACUGACACUGAGGCACGAAAGUGUGGGGAUCAAACAGGAUUAGAUACCCACGUAGUCCCUGAGCGGGCUGGCAAGGCGCAU